UUGGUUUUUUUUGCCCCCUCCCCAGGCCCACUGGUGCUGCCCCGAGGUGGAGGCCGAGGUGGAGGCCAUGCGGGAGGUGGUCAGGGUGGUGAGGGCUCUGCGGGAGACUUUCCGCCUCGGCGCCGCGCGGCCCCACGUGGCCGUGCGGUGCCCGGAGGAGAUGAGGGCGGCGUUUCGGGAGCUCGGCCCCGCCCUCCAGGCCCUGGCGCAGGCGGGGCCUCUGAGGCUCCUCCCCCAGGGGGCGGAGCCAGAGCUGGGGCCCGGCUGGGUGGGGGCCCCGGCCGGCCCCGGAACCCACGUCUACCUCUGCCUGCAGGUGGGCCCCAGGGCAUUGUGGGAUACUGGGGGACCCCGGGGGAUUGUGGGAUGGUGGAGGACCCCAGGGGAUUGUGGGAUAUUGGGGGACCCCAGGGGCAUUGUGGGAUUUUGGGGUGACCCUGGGGGGAUUAUGGGAUGCUGGAGGACCCCAAAGGAAUUGUGGGAUACUGGGGGACCCUGGGGGAUUGUGGGAUGCUGGAGGACCCCGGGGCAUUGUGGGAUACUGGGGGACCCCAAGGGCAUUAUGGGAUACUGGAGGACCCCAAAGGAAUUGUGGGAUGCUGGAGGACCCCAGGAGCAUUAUGGGAUACUGGAGGACCCCUGGGGCAUUGUGGGAUACUGGGGAACCCCAGGGGAUUGUGGGAUGGUGGAGGACCCCAGGGGCAUUAUGGGAUGCGGGAGGACUCCAAGGGCAUUAUGGGAUAUUGUGGGACCCCGGGGCAUUGUGGGAUGCUGGAGGACCCCGGGGGAUUGUGGGAUGGUGGAGGACCCCAGGGGCAUUAUGGGAUAUUGGGGGACCCCAGGGGCAUUGUGGGAUUUUGGGGUGACCCUGGGGGGAUUAUGGGAUGCUGGAGGACCCCAAAGGAAUUGUGGGAUGUUGGGGGACCCCAGAGGCAUUAUGGGAUGGUGGAGGACCCCAAAGGAAUUGUGGGAUACUGGAGGACCCCAAAGGAAUUGUGGGAUGCUGGAGGACCCCGGGGCAUUGUGGGAUGCAGGAGGACCCCAGAGGCAUUGUGGGAUGUUGGGGGACCCCAGGGGCAUUAUGGGAUGCGGGAGGACCCCAAAGGAAUUGUGGGAUGCUGGAGGACCCCAGGGGCAUUAUGGGAUGGUGGAGGACCCCAGGGGCAUUGUGGGAUUUUGGGGUGACCCCAGGGCAUUGUGGGAUACUGGAGGACCCCAAAGGAAUUGUGGGAUGGUGGAGGACCCCAGGGGCAUUAUGGGAUUUUGGGGUGACCCUGGGGGCAUUAUGGGAUGCGGGAGGACCCCAAGGGCACUGUGAAUUUUGGGGUGACCCCAGGGAUAUUAUGGGAUAUUGGGGUCACUUUGGGGUCAUUAUGGGAUGUUGGGGUGACCCCAGGGAUAUUAUGGGAUUCGGGAGGACCCCAGGGGCACUGUGGAAUAUUGGGGACCCCAGGGAUAUUAUGGGAUAUUGGGGGACCCUGGGGUCAUUAUGGGGUGCUGGAGGCCCCCAGGGUCCUUAUGGGAUUUUGGGGUCCCCCCCUGCCCCCCCAGGGCCUGGUGGAGCCCAGUGCCGAGCGCUCCCGGCUGAGCGCCCGCAGCCGCAGCCUCCAGCGCCGCCUCCAGGCCCUGACCCCGGAGGGGGGGGGGGACCCCUCCGCCGCCCCCCCCUCGCAGCAGCGCCAGGUACGGCCCUAAUUAGCGCUAAUUACCGCUAAUUAACAUCCUUACAGUGAAACCAGGGCGUUUUGCUAACGGGAGGGGCUUCCUUCGCCCCUUUCC
rnacentral:lncRNA from 1 species